CAGGGUUGUUGAAAUCAAAUUUAGGGACUUUACUGACGGGACUCUGGGCUGGCUGCUCUGUUCACUCGUCAGCGCAAGUGGCGUGACCAUGUAAUUGGGGCACGGGGCCGGCGCGGCGCGCUGCGGGCUUGCAGAAUUUUGUUUGUUUGUUUGGCCGCGCGUUGGCGCAGCCACGGGCCGCAGUUACUGGGGCGCGCUGUCGUAACAAGCCGCGCGGUGUGGCCUGCACAUUGGGUUAGAGGGGGGGUAGUCUUCCCAGAUGUUCUAGUUAGUUGUUUAGUAAAUUUGACUUCAAUAACGAGCUUUUGUUAUGGUAGGCGCGGCAGGGCGCGCGAAUUUAAGCGCAAGUGAGUGGUGAAUCGGGGCUCACUCAGGCGGAGGCUAUGCGUCUCACCUGUGGUCACGAGUUGUUAGUUCGUUCGUGAUGUAGGAAUUCAGGCUCACUCAGGCGGAGGCUAUGCGUCUCACCUGUGGUCACGAGUUGUUAGUUCGUUCGUGAUGUAGGAAUUCAAGCUUUCGGGCGGAAGCUAUGGUCGACGCCAGAGGCCACGAGUCGUUUAAUUUAAGUUAGGUCAUAAUGUAGUCGUCAAGCUUUCGGGCGGAGGCUAUGGCCCUCGUCAGGGGUCACGCGUCAUAGUUUUUAAAAUGUAAUGUUCGUUCGGGAUUUCAAGGGCAGGAGAGGCCCCUACGUUAUUUUUUUAAAGUAAUCGAUCAAGAAAGGCUUUUCGGAAAAUGUGAGUAUGGACUUAUCUUUGUUUUAAUUUUAAGUAUUAAUUAUGAUUUGAGGUAUUCGGAAGGACUAGGGAAGUGUUUAGUGAAGUUCUCUCAUUCUCUCUCUUGUAAGGUCGUUCAAUCGUUAAGGAAGUAAAGAGAUUAUUGUUUUAAAUUGUAAUCCCGCUAUUUAAAUGUUCUUUAAAAUGAUGUUGAGUAUUUGACUUUAAGAAUAAAAUAAUUUUAAUUAAGUAUUAUGUUAUUUUGCAAAAUCUCCUUAGUUCAGCUCUCACCAGACAUCCUGUACGGGAUGACGAACCUAUGAUCCUAGGUACAGUAAAGUAUUUUAUGAAGUUAAGACUAGUUGAUGCCAAGCGAGUUGUUUCUAUGUAAAGAGCUACGAUUCUCGCCCCCCCCCCCCUCUGAAGGUGGAUCGUGACAGAAAUGGCGGUGGCACCGGCUAGGUGCACGUGACAGAAAUGGUAGAGUUCGCCGGAUAGGUUCUAUUUCUGGAGAGAGAGAGAGGUAGAUUUUUAUGUUUAUUAUUAAGUUAGUUUCAGCUUCUGAUAGCAGGUUAUUAAGAGUUUACUUGAGGAGAGGAUUACGGAAUUUUAGUCUAUAGUGGAGGAAGUCUUUGAGAUUUUUUUUUUGACGUAACAGAUGUUUAUUUGAGGAUACUUGUAAGGAUAAAGUUAAUAGUGAUAAGUUGUUUUAAGUCGUUGAAUUUAUUGUAGAUUUAUAUCGGGGAUUAUUACGUGAGGAGAAUACGUUAUAAGUUAAAUGCUUAUUAGAGAUAAUGCAAGUGGUUUAAUUUAAUUGAAGUUCAUUUUAAGAUUGUAGGUUAAGAGAAUUAUAAUUUAAAAUAAAAAUUUUUUGUCGUAAAUAGGAAUUAUUUUCAAGUGAAGUUUGUUUUGUUGUCGUGCGCGUAGGAGACGAGACGUACGAAUUAAAUCAGUCGAGGGAAGGAUAAACGUUAGAAAGGAAUUAAAGAGAAAACGAGAGUUUAUGUAAAAGAGAGUUAUAGAAUUUAUAGUGAUGUUUUGUUUUAAUUAGAAAAAUGUUGAGAGUUGUUUCAGAACGACACGUCAGUGGACGUGGCAGAGUGAACACGUGACGGGGAGGUGCUGAGACCUAGCGGAGAACGGAGGAACCGCAAGCGAGGGUUGGCGCACCUGAUGGAAUUCGGUGACGUCACGGGCUCAUACGGAGACGUGGACAGGCCGUGACCUUGUUUUGAUCAGCUGUACGGUAACUUAGCGAUAAGAAAAUAGACUAUUGGUUAAAUAAAUUUAAAUUUAAGUGUGUUUUAGGAGAAGAGGAACUUUCAGUAUAUUCCUUAAGAUGAGCUGAGCAGCAGUCCAGUUUACAAGAUGACAAGAGUUCGAGAGACAAGAUACAAGGUCACUGAAACAAGAGCCAAGACUGAAGAUUCAAGAGAAGAGAAAGCUGGCAGCCAUGGACUUACAAGUGGAGAUUAAUAAGGUCAUGUAAAGUUUUAUUUUUUUUUAUGGAAGACAGUAACUGGAGUUUUUUUUUUGUUAUAAACAUUAUUUACAGAACUUUUUAGGUUAUAGUAAUGUAAUGGAACUAGUGAGUUGUGGUAGCUGUCAAAAAGAACUAAUACCUUAAGUUUAAUUUUUAAAGUUAAUUUUCUUAAUUUACAGAGGGAUUAGUAGUUUUUUUUAAACCUUAUUUAGGUUGGAAUUUAAAUACAAUAGCUUAUUAUAAAUAUGUACGAACAGUUCAAGUUCACAGUACUGAUAGGUAGGUCAGAUGAUCUUAUUGAUUUUGAUGAUUUGUUGUUUUGAGUUGAUUUUUAAGUGUUGUGAAUUAGACAAUGAAAUAGUUCUGAAAACUUAAAUUAUUUCAAGCUAAGAAAUAGUAAAGUUAAUUGUAACUCAAAGGACACCAGAAUUUAAUUUUUUUUUGAAUUAGUAAUGUUUGAAAAUUUUAUACUUUACAAGAAAGGUUAUAAACAAACAGAUCGGAUGGAACAAGGAUGCAGUAAAUCACAAUUUCAUUUAGAAUUAUUGAUUAGCUUUUGAGGUUAUGAAGUAAAAGUAAUUAUAGUUUAAAAGUUUGAAUAAAAAAAAAUGUUUUUUUUUUAUUUGUUUGAAAUAGAAAGUUUAAAAGUUAAUUAGUCAUGAUCUAGGUGGGUGAUGGGGUGGGAAUUGGCCACUCUUUUUCCCUAUAACCUCCCUAACAUGGCCUUCUAUUACAACUAACAGAAAUAAAGAAGAAGAAAAAUGAAGAAUUAUUAGUUAGAAUGUUUCUUUCAUGAAGAUACCUGAUGAACUUUUACUGUUUGGAAGAAUAGAAGCAAGGUUAGUCAGAUAUUUUUACUCAGAAGAAGAAGAAGAUAAAGCAGUUUUAUGACUCGACAAGCCAGAGAUUGGUGUUUCCCCUCUGCGCUUCUAUUGACUACGUUGUUUACUCUCAUGGGAUAGCUGGUUCGGCACCAUGGAGAGAGAUUGGUGGGCAUUGUGGUUGCCCCCAGAAGAAAAGAAGAGUAGAAGAGGUUAUGGGUGGGUCAUGUGAACUGACCUUCAACCCAGUUACUUCGUGGGGACUAUUUGCUGUAUAGAGAAGAUCAAGACUCAAGAGUUAGGGAAAAUCAUUGGAGGUCAUGUUUCCCUUCCUUAAGUUUUUCCUAUCAAAUUAUUUGCCUGAUUAGAUUAUGCUAAGGGUGGGAUACUUUAUGUUAGCAGUUGAAUUAAUUAAUUUUAUUUUUUUGUGUGUUUGCAUCCUUGCCCAUCGAUUGCAGUUUAGUAGUUAGUUUUGUAUUUGUCAGGCGUGAUGGUAAUGCCUGUUGAUGAUGUUUCAGAAUUGUAAUCUGUUCGUGAUGAGGAUGGCACAACUCCGAAGCAGAUGUGGGGAGAAGUUGUGAGCUGCCCUGGAAGCCAGUCCAGUAGCUGUUGGAGUUGAGUGGUGUUUGCUGAUGGCCAGCCCAGGGAGCUACUCUUCUCGACAACACUGACUUCGAGGAGUUGCACCAACCUUCACGAGAUAAGAGUUUAAUUAAUUGAAACACUGUAAGGACACUUAAUUUUUUUUGAAGAACGAAAGAAGUAUGGUAAUAAACGGAAACCGAAAAAAAAAAAAAAAUAAUAAUUAUCAAGAAUUUGCACAUUGUUUAACGAAUAAUGAGAAACUAAGAACAGUAAUUUAAUUUGUAAAGAGAGCUUCACUAACAGAACAAUUUUUUUAGAAUUAAGAACUCGAGCCUCUGAAGGUUCCUGUGAGAACAAACCAGAUAAAAGUUUUACAUUUAAUUUUAUGAAUACUUGUUGUUUUAAAAUAAAUCUUAUGCAGAAUCUAGAUGUAUGUUCAGACAGCAAGGAACUAAGAAAAUUAUUAUUUUUGUGAAAUGAGGAAUUUAUAGUUAUGGUUUAAUGGAAAAAGACAAUUUGUAAUUUUGAAGUAGCUCGAUGGGGCUCGAGCUCUGUGAGGGGAGGGUUAUGUCGCGGGUUGAAAUUUUGCAGGGUUGUUGAAAUCAAAUUUAGGGACUUUACUGACGGGACUCUGGGCUGGCUGCUCUGUUCACUCGUCAGCGCAAGUGGCGUGACCAUGUAAUUGGGGCACAGGGCCGGCGCGGCGCGCUGCGGGCUUGCAGAAUUUUGUUUGUUUGUUUGGCCGCGCGCUGGCGCAGCCACGGGCCGCAGUUACUGGGGCGCGCUGUCGUAACAAGCCGCGCGGUGUGGCCUGCACAUUGGGGUAGAGGGGGGGUAGUCUUCCCAGAUGUUCUAGUUAGUUGUUUAGUAAAUUUGACUUCAAUAACGAGCUUUUGUUAUGGUAGGCGCGGCAGGGCGCGCGAAUUUAAGCGCAAGUGAGUGGUGAAUCGGGGCUCACUCAGGCGGAGGCUAUGCGUCUCACCUGUGGUCACGAGUUGUUAGUUCGUUCGUGAUGUAGGAAUUCAGGCUCACUCAGGCGGAGGCUAUGCGUCUCACCUGUGGUCACGAGUUGUUAGUUCGUUCGUGAUGUAGGAAUUCAAGCUUUCGGGCGGAAGCUAUGGUCGACGCCAGAGGCCACGAGUCGUUUAAUUUAAGUUAGGUCAUAAUGUAGUCGUCAAGCUUUCGGGCGGAGGCUAUGGCCCUCGUCAGGGGUCACGCGUCAUAGUUUUUAAAAUGUAAUGUUCGUUCGGGAUUUCAAGGGCAGGAGAGGCCCCUACGUUAUUUUUUUAAAGUAAUCGAUCAAGAAAGGCUUUUCGGAAAAUGUGAGUAUGGACUUAUCUUUGUUUUAAUUUUAAGUAUUAAUUAUGAUUUGAGGUAUUCGGAAGGACUAGGGAAGUGUUUAGUGAAGUUCUCUCAUUCUCUCUCUUGUAAGGUCGUUCAAUCGUUAAGGAAGUAAAGAGAUUAUUGUUUUAAAUUGUAAUCCCGCUAUUUAAAUGUUCUUUAAAAUGAUGUUGAGUAUUUGACUUUAAGAAUAAAAUAAUUUUAAUUAAGUAUUAUGUUAUUUUGCAAAAUCUCCUUAGUUCAGCUCUCACCAGACAUCCUGUACGGGAUGACGAACCUAUGAUCCUAGGUACAGUAAAGUAUUUUAUGAAGUUAAGACUAGUUGAUGCCAAGCGAGUUGUUUCUAUGUAAAGAGCUACGAUUCUCGCCCCCCCCCCUCUGAAGGUGGAUCGUGACAGAAAUGGCGGUGGCACCGGCUAGGUGCAC